ensembl:rRNA 5S_rRNA 5S ribosomal RNA
GGCCAGCACCAUACCACCCUGCAUUCCACUGCUGGCUUGCUUCUGAAGCUAAGCAGGUUUGGUCCUGGAUGGGAGACCAGAUGCUGCUGGAAGUGGUUU